CAAGUCUGCAGCGGUGCUCUGCUGCACUAGCAUGCAAGCAGCUGAAAGGACCACACAACUUCACUGCACUUGCAGAUGCUCUGACUAAGAUCCAUACAGAGUUCAACAUCAGAGACAAGAUUGUGCGUACAACGACAGAUAGUGGGUCCAAUUUUCUGAAAGCCUUCAGAGUGUACGGUGUCGAUGAUGAAAACAACAAUGCAGAACCAUUCGGGGCAGAGCCAGAUGAAUCAGGAGAGGAGGAUGGUGAAGAGAUCACGAUGGAGGCUGUUGAAGCCGGC